AAAUUGAAGAGUUUGAUCAUGGCUCAGAUUGAACGCUGGCGGCAGGCCUAACACAUGCAAGUCGAACGGUAACAGGAAACAGCUUGCUGUUUCGCUGACGAGUGGCGGACGGGUGAGUAAUGUCUGGGAAACUGCCUGAUGGAG
rnacentral:rRNA from 2 species